rnacentral:rRNA from 1 species
CGGUAAUUCCAGCUCCAAUAGCGUAUACUAAAGUUGUUGCAGUUAAAAAGCUCGUAGUUGGAUUUCUGCGCGGGUGGGGCGUCCGCCGGCCUCAGGUCGGGUUGGGCAGCAACGCCCACGCAUCCUGCUGCGAUCCGCGCUACCAUUCGUUUGGUGGCGUCGGGGACCAGCUCGAUUACUUUGAGAAAAUUUGAGUGUUCAAAGCAGGCAAUUGCCUUGAAAAUUCUAGCAUGGACUAAUGGUUAAGGACUUUGGUUCUAUUUCAUUGGCUUUCGGAACCGAAGUAAUGAUUGAUAGGGACAGUUGGGGGCGUCUGUAUUCUGAAGCGAGAGGUGAAAUUCUUAGACCUUCGGAAGACAAACAGCUGCGAAAGCGUUCGCCAAGGAUGUACCCUUUGAUCAAGAACGAAAGUUGGGGGAUCGAAGACGAUCAGAUACCGUCGUAGUCUCAACUAUAAACUAUACCAGCUAGGGAUCGGCCAACGUUGAUCUACAAAGACUUGGUCGGCACCUUAUGAGAAAUCAAUAGCAUUUGGGUUCCGGGGGGAGUAUGGUCGCAAGGCUGAAACUUAAAGGAAUUGACGGAAGGGCACCACCAGGCGUGGAGCCUGUGGCUUAAUUUGACUCAACACGGGGAAACUUACCAGGUCCAGACAUAGGAAGGAUUGACAGAUUGACAGCUCUUUCUUGAUUCUAUGGGUGGUGGUGCAUGGCCGUUCUUAGUUGGUGGAGUGAUUUGUCUGGUUAAUUCCGUUAACGAACGAGACCCCAGCCUGCUAAAUAGCGCGCGUGGCUCCUGGCCGCGGCGAGCUUCUUAGAAGGACUACGGUUCGCCAUAGACCGGGGAAGUUUGGGGCAAUAACAGGUCUGUGAUGCCCUUAGAUGUUCUGGGCCGCACACGGGCUACACUGACGCGUGCAACGAGCAUAUCAGCUGGCCCGAGAGGGCAUAGGCUAAUCUUUCGAACUCGCGUCGUGCUAGGGAUUGACCAUUGCAAUUGUUGGUCAUGCAACGAGGAAUGCCUUGUAAACGCGAGUCAUCAACUCGCAUUGAAUACGUCCCUGCCCCUUGUACACACCGCCC